UACAGAGGUCUCGAGCGUUGUUCGGAUUCAUUGGGCGUAAAGGGUGCGUAGGUGGCGCUGUAAGUCAGGUGUGAAAUUUCGGAGCUUAACUCCGAAACUGCAUUUGAUACUGCGGUGCUUGAGGACUGGAGAGGAGACUGGAAUUUACGGUGUAGCAGUGAAAUGCGUAGAGAUCGUAAGGAAGACCAGUGGCGAAGGCGGGUCUCUGGACAGUUCCUGACACUGAGGCACGAAGGCCAGGGGAGCGAAUGGG
rnacentral:rRNA from 1 species